ACGCUGUUCAGUCCUUUUCUAAACUGGACUUCAUUGCAAGUAAGUACAGUGCAUUUAUAAUGAUACUAUUGAAAUGGAUAGUUAACCUGUAUAUCUCAUACUGCUGAUUGCUUCCUUUUUGCUUUCUGUGAGCGCUUUAGCUUCCUGUCUUGUCUCUGAACAGUGCUUCAGCAAAAGCGCAGGAAGUGCUCUAAGCAGAAUUACAGGGUCCUUAUUUACCCUGGUUGUAUAAACAGCUAUACAUGUACUCCUACAAAUGGUCCCAGUGAGAUCAGUGCAACUGUUAACAUAAGAAAAUCACAAUCACGUCUCUUUCCCACUUACUUUUCUACCUCUUGAAAUCAGAGUGUCUGUAAUAUCCAGGGAAGCCAGUUGUAGAAGCUAGUUCUAUAUUAGCAUAAUGCUGGGCACUGCUUUUUUUCUUUCCUCUUUCCUAAAGCAAGGAAAAAGCCUUGGCUGCAGUGUCUGUGGAAGGGUUUUGACUGAUGAUUCAGGAGGCUGUUCACAUCUGCAGUCACUGUGAAUGUACCAAAGUGUGCUCACAAUUUAUUUUCAGAAACGGUGUAGAAUACUACAGAGUAUGUAAAUACCCUCUGCCACUCCUGUAGUACGUUUGCAACUGUAUAUAUAUUCUUGCAUAUUUGGUAAACAAAAGCUAAAUACAUUGUGUUAAAAUAGUACAAAAGAGAUUUCUGAAUUACUGAGACUUCACUGCUGCUUUAAAACCACCCUAGCAAGAGUGAUAUGUAAUAGCUUUCAUGGAAUACACAGCAUAAUCUUACAGGGAAAAAGGAAUUUUCUGAUAUAACCUUUUUCAAAUGAAACUUCAAACUCUGAUCGGGCUGGAAAGCAAGUGAAUUCCCCCUAAAACAGAGGAGAAGUAAUCAUACCUUUUGGAUUCCAAAAGUCAAGUAUGGUUCAACGUUAUGGUAAACGCAGUCAACACCUAUCCUAUUCUAUGCAUUUUUAUAGCUCCGGUAUGUUUGUAGUAAUCUUACUGCUGGAAAUCAAUGAAAGUCAUUUGCUCUGCUAUCCACUUUUUCUGGCAAGAUUAUAACCAAGCAUUUCAGAAGAACUCAGAGUGUACAUGCUUCAUUCUGUGCAACCUCAGUUAAGAUGUGUCAUUCAAUGUAAAGAGAUUGGCUUGACAUACAUCUUAAAGCCAAUUGCAUUUAUAACAUUAAUAUUUUUUCAGCUAUUUAUUUAGUAAAGACAGAGUCAAAUAGCUUAUCCUAUGUACAGAAAUAUCUUCAGUUCUUCUGGCAAAAUAAUUCAUGUUUAAUCAACCCACCUAAGGGAAUAUGAUUCAUGCAGAAGAAUUGCUAAACAUGAUAAACUUUGCAAACUAACUGAAAUUGCGCAUCUUGCUUCAAUUUCACUAAACUUGUAGCUUCCGUGUAUAUGCACAGUACCUAUCCUGAUCUUUCUGGGGAAAGAUCGUAGCAGUGCCUAAUCCAGUGGUAGAGACCAUUUCUACCAUGAAUGUGUUAUGUUCAUUUGCCUGUUACAGUCAUCAGGGACUGAAAAAUCUUUGUCUUUGAUGUAUGCUACAGGAACUAGGCUGCAUACUGUACUUCAAGAUGGGAAGACUGGCAACAAAAAUGAAAUUCUAGCAGGAAUUCAAGACUGAUACCUAUAUAUCCGUUUGCUCUGCACCGGGCCUUCUUUCUGCAUUGAGCUGCUCAUACUCCUAAAUAUGAAUAGCUAGUAAGUGCUUUUUUCAUUCUAAAGAUCAAUCUAAAGAUUCCCUGUUUUAUUUCUUCUGCAUCUGUUUCACUCACUGGGAGUGAUGAAUCAGACUUGACAGCAGGAAUGGUUGUUAGAGGUUAGCAGGAUGGUUAGAGCUAAUACAGGGAGCUGAGAUAAUGUCAAGCUGUACCAGUUAUGGUCUUCCUAACAGGCUGUUUCAUAUGGGUAACUAUGUAACUUGUGAAUGACAAUUUCGUGAAGCUAGAAGAGAGCAGAAAGUUGAGAAGCAAAUAGAAUGAUGUGUCAAACAAACAGGUAGAAUGGUAGACUGCUAAUACAGGCUGAAGGGAGGAUUGCAAAUUCUUUGCAGCUUAUAUGGAGCUUUCAGUAACUUUGAAGCAUUAAUCUUCUGAACCUCAGACCCGUGUCAAGUAGGGCUGUCUUAAAGAAAAACUUACUAACUUAAUGGACACAUUUUUAGCAGUGGACAAAGCACAAUCAUUUUUUUGCAAGUUGCUCUCAUUACAGUGUUUUUUGGCAUUAUGAUGAUAAUACUGUUGUGAUAUUCCUUGGAUAAUGAAUUUCUGCUGUUGCACUCUUAA